rnacentral:rRNA from 1 species
CUGCAGCUCAAGUGGUGAUCGUUAUUAUUGGGCCUAAAACGUCCGUAGCCGGUUUAGUAAAUGCCUGGGUAAAUCGUGCCGCUCAACGGUACGACUUCCGGGUAGACUGCUAAACUUGGGACCGGGAGAGGCUAGAGGUACUCCUGGGGUAGAGGUGAGAUUCUGUAAUCCUAGGGGGACCACCAGUGGCGAAGGCGUCUAGCUAGAACGGGUCUGACGGUGAGGGACGAAGCCCUGGGGCACAAACCGGAUUAGAUACCCGAGUAGUCC